rnacentral:tRNA from 2 species
GCCCGAUUAGCUCAGCUGGUUAGAGCGUCGUACUAAUAUCUUCCUCCAGGGAAAUAUCAAGUUCAUGCGAAGGUCAACAGUUCAAUCCUGUUAUUGGGCA